rnacentral:rRNA from 1 species
CCUACGGGGGGCAGCAGUGAGGAAUAUUGGUCAAUGGGCGGAAGCCUGAACCAGCCAAGUAGCGUGCAGGAUGACGGCCCUACGGGUUGUAAACUGCUUUUAUACGGGAAUAACGCGCCUUACGUGUAGGGCUUUGCAUGUACCGUAUGAAUAAGGAUCGGCUAAUUCCGUGCCAGUAGCCGCGGUAAUACGGAGGGUCCGGGCGUUAUCCGGAUUUAUUGGGUUUAAAGGGAGCGUAGGCGGCAUGUCAAGCGUGCUGUGAAAGGUUCGGGCUCAACCCGGGCCUUGCAGCGGAAACUGGCGUGCUUGAGUCCGCGGAAAGCAGGCGGAAUUCGUGGUGUAGCGGUGAAAUGCUUAGAUAUGACGAAGAACCCCGAUUGCGAAGGCAGCUUGCUGGAGCGGAACUGACGCUGAUGCUCGAAAGCGCGGGUAUCGAACAGGAUUAGAUACCCGGGUAGUC